AUUCAACUGACGAGUCCCAGAGAGGACGAAACGCGCGUCGAACUGGAU
rfam:Schistosoma mansoni strain Puerto Rico chromosome 4, complete genome